rnacentral:rRNA from 1 species
UACGUAGGGUGCAAGCGUUGUCCGGAAUUAUUGGGCGUAAAGAGCUCGUAGGCGGUUUGUCGCGUCGAAUGUGAAAACCCGGGGCUCAACUCCGGGCCUGCAUUCGAUACGGGCAGGCUAGAGUUCGGUAGGGGAGACUGGAAUUCCUGGUGUAGCGGUGAAAUGCGCAGAUAUCAGGAGGAACACCGGUGGCGAAGGCGGGUCUCUGGGCCGAUACUGACGCUGAGGAGCGAAAGCGUGGGGAGCGAACAGG